rnacentral:rRNA from 1 species
UCCGGUUGAUCCUGCCGGACCCCACCGCUAUCGGGGUGAGACUAAGCCAUGCGAGUCGUGCGCUCCCAGGCCAUGGUGGGAGCGUGGCGUACGGCUCAGUAAAACAUGGUCAACCUACCCUCAAGACGGGGAUAACCCCGGGAAACUGGGGCUAAUCCCCGAUAGGUGAGAAUGCCUGGAAUUGGCUUCUCACCGAAAGGGUGUUGGAACCAUGCCUUCCAACACCGCUUGAGGAUGGGACCAUGUCCGAUCAGGUUGUUGGUGAGGUAACGGCUCACCAAGCCUAUAACCGGUACGGGCCGUGAGAGCGGGAGCCCGGAGAUGGACCCUGAGACAAGGGUCCAGGCCCUACGGGGCGCAGCAGGCGCGAAACCUCCGCAAUGCGGGAAACCGUGACGGGGUCACCCCGAGUGCCACCCGCUGAGGGUGGCUUUUCCCCGGUCUAACCAGCCGGGGGAAAUAAGGGGAGGGCAAGCCUGGUGUCAGCCGCCGCGGUAAUACCAGCUCCCCGAGUGGUGGGGACGAUUAUUGGGCCUAAAGCGUCCGUAGCCGGCCUGGUAAGUUUCCCGUUAAAUCUGACGGCUUAACCGUCGGACUGCGGGAAAUACUGCCAGGCUAGGGGGCGGGAGAGGCCGACGGUACUCCUGGGGUAGGGGUGAAAUCCUAUAAUCCCAGGAGGACCACCAGUGGCGAAGGCGGUCGGCCAGAACGCGCCCGACGGUGAGGGACGAAAGCUGGGGGAGCGAACCGGAUUAGAUACCCGGGUAGUCCCAGCUGUAAACGAUGCGGGCUAAGUGUCGGAACGGCCUAGAGCCGUUCCGGUGCUGCAGGGAAGCCGUUAAGCCCGCCGCCUGGGGAGUACGGCCGCAAGGCUGAAACUUAAAGGAAUUGGCGGGGGAGCACCACAAGGGGUGAAGCUUGCGGUUUAAUUGGAGUCAACGCCGGGAACCUUACCGGGGGAGACAGCUGGAUGAAGGCCAGAUUGAAGGUCUUGCCAGACUAGCUGAGAGGAGGUGCAUGGCCGUCGCCAGUUCGUGCCGUGAGGUAUCCCGUUAAGUCGGGCAACGAGCGAGACCCACACCCCUAGUUGCUAACGGGCUCCGAAAGGAACCCGUGCACUCUAGGGGGACCGCCGCCGAUAAGGCGGAGGAAGGAGUGGGCCACGGCAGGUCAGUAUGCCCCGAAUCCCCCGGGCCACACGUGAGCUGCAAUGGCGGGGACAAUGGGAUCCGACCCCGAAAGGGGAAGGUAAUCCCCAAACCCCGCCUCAGUUGGGAUCGAGGGCUGAAACCCGUCCUCGUGAACAUGGAAUCCCUAGUAAUCGCGCGUCAUCAGCGGGCGGUGAAUACGUCCCUGCUCCUUGCACACACCGCCCGUCGCUCCAACCGAGCUGAGUCCAGGUGAGGUAUGGUCGUGUUGGCCAUAUCGAACUUGGACUCAGCGAGGGGGGAGAAGUCGUAACAAGGUAGCC